AAUCAACGCUGGCGGCGCGCUUAACACAUGCAAGUCGAACGAGAAAGGGAGCAAUCCUGAGUAAAGUGGCGUACUGGUGAGUAACACGUGGAUAUCUACCUCUUGGUGGGGAAUAACCUGGGGAAACCUGGGCUAAUACCGCAUAAGUUCGUGAGAAGAAAGGCGCAAGUCGCCGAGAGAGGAGUCCGCGGUCGAUUAGGUAGUUGGCAGGGUAAAAGCCUACCAAGCCGAAGAUCGAUAGCCGGCCUGAGAGGGCACACGGCCACACUGGCACUGAAACACGGGCCAGACUCCUACGGGAGGCAGCAGUGGGGAAUCUUGCACAAUGGGGGGAAACCCUGAUGCAGCGACGCCGCGUGAGCGAUGAAGCCCUUCGGGGUGUAAAGCUCUUUCGGCAGGAACGAUAAUGACGGUACCGUGCAGAAGAAGCUGCGGCUAACUACGUGCCAGCAGCCGCGGUAAU
rnacentral:rRNA from 1 species